rnacentral:rRNA from 1 species
GUGGGGAAUAUUGCACAAUGGGGGAAACCCUGAUGCAGCGACGCCGCGUGAAGGAAGAAGGCUUUCGGGUUGUAAACUUCUUUGACAGGGGACGAAACAAAUGACGGUACCCUGAAAACAAGCCACGGCUAACUACGUGCCAGCAGCCGCGGUAAUACGUAGGUGGCAAGCGUUGUCCGGAUUUACUGGGUGUAAAGGGCGUGUAGGCGGGACGGUAAGUCAGAUGUGAAAUGUAGGGGCUCAACCCCUGAACUGCAUUUGAAACUAUCGUUCUUGAGUGAUGGAGAGGCAGGCGGAAUUCUGUGUGUAGCGGUGAAAUGCGUAGAUAUACGGAGGAACACCAGUGGCGAAGGCGGCCUGCUGGACAUUAACUGACGCUGAGGCGCGAAAGCGUGGGGAGCAAACAGGAUUAGAUACCCCGGUAGUCC